UCUACCAUCCCAUCCGGAAUGUGUUCCUUUCUUCUACCAUCCCAUCCGGUAUGGUUCCUUUCUUCUACCAUCCCAUCCGGUAUGGUUUCUUUCUUCUACCAUCCCAUCUGGUAGGGUUCCUCUCUUUCUACCAUCCCAUCCAGUAUGGUUCCUUCUUCUUCUACCAUCCCAUCCAGUAUGGUUCCUUUCUUCUACCAUCCCAUCCGGUAUGGUUCCUUUCUUCUACCAUCCCAUCCGGUAUGGUUCCUUUCUUCUACCAUCCCAUCUGGUAUGGUUCCUCUCUUCUACCAUACCAUCCAGUAUGGUGUCUUUUCUUCUUACCUCACCAUCCAGUAUGGUUCUGUUUUCUACCACCAUCCAGUAUGUUUCUGUCUUCUACCAUCCCAUCCAGUAUGGUUCUGUUCUUCUACCAUCCCAUCCAGUAUGGUUCCUUCUUCUACCACCCUCCAGUAUGUUCCUUUCUUCUACCAUCCCAUCCAUAUGGUGUCUUUUUCU
rnacentral:lncRNA from 1 species